GAUGAACGCUGGCGGCGUGCUUAACACAUGCAAGUCGAACGAGAAAUGUUAUUACGAUCUCUUCGGAGUGACGGUUUUAUUUCGAGUGGCGGACGGGUGAGUAACGCGUGAGCAACCUGCCCUAUACCGGGGGAUACCAGUUGGAAACGACUGUUAAUACCGCAUAAGCGCACGAUAAGACAUCUUGUUGUGUGAAAAACUCCGGUGGUAUAGGAUGGGCUCGCGUAUGAUUAGCCAGUUGGCGGGGUAAAGGCCCACCAAAGCGACGAUCAUUAGCCGACCUGAGAGGGCGACCGGCCACAUUGGAACUGAGACACGGUCCAAACUCCUACGGGAGGCAGCAGUGGGGAAUAUUGCACAAUGGGGGGAACCCUGAUGCAGCGACGCCGCGUGAGCGAAGAAGGUUUUCGAAUCGUAAAGCUCUGUCCUAUGAGAAGAUAAUGACGGUAUCAUAGGAGGAAGCCCCGGCUAAAUACGUGCCAGCAGCCGCGGUAAUACGUAUGGGGCGAGCGUUGUCCGGAAUUAUUGGGCGUAAAGGGUACGUAGGCGGCCUUUUAAGUCAGGUGUGAAAGCGUGAGGCUUAACCUCAUUAAGCACUUGAAACUGGAAGGCUUGAGUGAAGGAGAGGAAAGUGGAAUUCCUAGUGUAGCGGUGAAAUGCGUAGAUAUUAGGAGGAAUACCGGUGGCGAAGGCGACUUUCUGGACUUUUACUGACGCUCAGGUACGAAAGCGUGGGGAGCAAACAGG
rnacentral:rRNA from 1 species